rnacentral:rRNA from 1 species
CCGAGAAUAUUCCGCAAUGGACGAAAGUCUGACGGAGCGACGCCGCGUGAUGGAUGAAGUCCUUCGGGACGUAAACAUCUUUUAUGCGUGAAGAAGUUAUUGACAUUAGCGCAUGAAUAAGGGGCUCCUAACUCUGUGCCAGCAGGAGCGGUAAUACAGAGGCCCCAAGCAUUAUCCGGAAUCACUGGGCGUAAAGGGUGUGUAGGCGGUUGUGUUAGUCUUUCGUGAAAGAUCUUGGGCUUAACCCAGGAGACGCGGAGGAAACGGCACGACUAUAGAGGAUGCGAGAGGUAAAGGGAACUCAUGGUGUAGGGGUGAAAUCCGUUGAUAUCAUGGGGAACACCAAAUGCGAAGGCACUUUACUGGCGCACUCCUGACGCUGAAACACGAAAGCGUGGGAAUCGAACGGGAUUAGAUACCCCCGUAGUCC